rnacentral:rRNA from 1 species
UACGAAGGGGGGCUAGCGUUGUUCGGAAUUACUGGGCGUAAAGGGUGCGUAGGCGGGUCUUUUAAGUCAGGGGUGAAAUCCUGGAGCUCAACUCCAGAACUGCCUUUGAUACUGAAGAUCUUGAGUUCGGGAGAGGUGAGUGGAACUGCGAGUGUAGAGGUGAAAUUCGUAGAUAUUCGCAAGAACACCAGUGGCGAAGGCGGCUCACUGGCCCGAUACUGACGCUGAGGCACGAAAGCGUGGGGAGCAAACAGG